rnacentral:rRNA from 1 species
GGAAUCGCUAGUAAUCGCGGAUCAGCACGCCGCGGUGAAUACGUUCCCGGGCCUUGUACACACCGCCCGUCACACCAUGGAAGUCUGCAAUGCCCGAAGCCGGUGGCCUAACCACUUAUGUGGAAGGAGCCGUCUAAGGCAGGGCAGAUGACUGGGGUGAAGUCGUAACAAGGUACC